ACUGUAAUAAAUGUGAUUUCUUUUAUUUUUUUGACCACUGUUGGAAUAAAAUAUCAUUCAAUGCAUACAACAGCGUCCGAGCUUCUCAUUAAAAUGGCUAUAUUGUAUAAUAAUAGCGGCAUCGAACACUGCUCUUUGAGGUGUCCUGGUGGAGAAAACAAUGUCACCAUGACGCCGCUCGGGGACGGCUGCCAUCUCGGUCCGGUCAUCGUCUUGUACAGUUCAGCAGCAGAAAGAACCAGAUGCCAGAGCACUGUGCCGCAUAUUCGUGUUCAAAUUGCCGGAUCGUCGAAAACAGGGCACGAGGGAUUACUUUUCACAAGUGAUGUGUGCCGUGCAAGCUUGGUCAGAGAUGCUGUACCAUCAUCAUUUGAUGAGAGCUCCUACCUUCUAGCUCUGAAAAACAAUGGAGGCCUACUGAUUCCAUCACAAGGCACAGUGAAGGUGCUGAGAGUUGCAGAGAGGGUGAUUCGCCAGGCUUCAACAAAACAAGCUCCAAAGGUGUCAACAGUCACACACAACGUCUGGGAGGAGAUUGGAAUGGAGGUGGUUUUUCUGCUUGGGGAACACAUUGAACAAACACAGCUUGGUAUCGACAACCAACAUUCCAGCUUGUUGUCAUUGGUUAUGUCCGUGUUUCUCAAGCUAAGGCUGCACCAUAUUGCCAUACUUACCUGUCUUGACCAGCAGAAAGGGAGCACGAGAAAGAAGCUCUGCAAAACAGUCCUCUUUCAUUGGUUUUAGCUGUAAAACGUUUGUACAUGUGUAAAUGUGGUUUAGGGCAGGGAUGUCAUGUUCUUGUGAUAACUUGAGAAUUUACA